CACCAGGCUUCCCUGUCCAUCACCAACUCCUGGAGCUUGCUCAAACUCAUGUCCAUUGAGUUGGUUAUGCCAGGUUAGCACAGAUGAAAGAAAGCUCCUCUUGAAAGAUGCUUACUAAGUUCUCCUCAGUAGCAUUAGUCACCACACACACACACACACACACACACACUUACUCCUGAGGGCUGAGACUGUGUUCUACUGCAGGAAAUUUAGGCUUCAUUUGGGGGCUGUAGGUGAGAUAUGGGUUUGAGAAGCAGUUGUUUAUUUCUGUCUCACCUUUUGACAAUAUUUGUUAGCAACUUGAAAGUUCGAAUGUUUUAGGUCUAGGCCCAUUGGACAGCACAGGGAUGUGUGUUUUCCAGCAUCCCUGCCAGGCUGGCAUUAGGUAUAAGCGUGCACGUAAUACGCAGUUCAGAAUGACUACACGUCUAGCCACAGUGAGUCACUGAAAUCAAAAACCGAAUCUCCUGAAGAACUGCAUCUAGGGGGAAAAGAUCUGUCAGCUCCCAAUAAAAGAGGCCCACUGGAGCAUGAGCUACAAUCAUAAUAAAAGCUAAUGAUAAUCCCCAGUAAAACUUUAUAGAGAACUUCUGUGUUAGCACAACGUUAAAGCAUCUUAACGGACCAUCUCGUCUAAACUCCACGGCCCCUCGCAGAAGGUACGAUUAGCUCUGCACCGGCAGCUGGGGAGACAGGGAAGCCAGGGAGAAGGCUCCGGCAGCAGUUCAGUACAGAGGUGGAAGCAAGAAGAGGUGAAGACCUUUGCCACUGCUUGUCUGCACCUUAAGCCCACUUAGAGGCUUGUUGUCCAUUUUAACCCGGCAAGUAGCCUGGAGCUCCUUCAAGGCUCAGCAGGGAAAUGCAGAGAUAACAAAGGAAGGCGGAGGAGGAAACUCUCUCCCCCCAGCUCUCUCCAGGCAGAAGUUGCUGAGCAGAAGGAGACAUUGCAUCCAAAGGAACAGACCCCAUGCCUGCACACCCUCAUUAGCUCUCUGCCUGGACCUUUAUUUGCCACAACUCCAGCCGUGGUCAGACCGAGAGAUCAGACCAAGUCUGGCUCUAGUGUCUCUUGUAGGAACUGCUUGGGGCCCAGACAGCUCCCGCUGAGCUGCUGAAGUCCUAGCAUUGGUCACAUCCCCUCCGUGGCAACCGGGGCUGCCAGCGGUGUCCUGCUGAAUUGUUCCCUGGACUUUCUCUGCUCAGUUCCUGUGCUCCAGCUCUGAGUUUAUAAAUGUUUACCAUACCCAGACCGAGCAAAUGUUUACAGUGAACCUUUACACAGAACCCAGGAAAGCUCCCUUUUAAUCCAGAAAAGUGUCCUGGCAAAAGGGAAAAAAAAAAGCCCACCGUGUUCAACGUGUGCCCAGCGGCUGCCUGCUGCCUGCAGCCCGCCUGGCUCUUUGUAAAGGCAAUGGAGGCCCAGCUGCAGCAAGUGUCCGUGCCUGUGGUCUUUGUGGAGUUUUCAGUGAGGACCUUUAUUCAGAGAGAAUACUGUUCUUUCACUAUUCCCAUAAAUCAGAAACUGCAGACGUCAAAGAGGAUUAGGUCACUUCGGGGGCUCCUGACUGAAGUUUAAGAAAGAGAGAGAGAGAGGAAAAAAAAAAAAAAAAGCAUAUUAUAUACAGUGAUAGAAGCAGGGAGGUGGGGGAAAUGUUAUGAAUUGUGUUCUGAAAAAUUCAGCUCAACAGUGCUAAUAGGGCCAAUAUUUAGGCUACAGUAUUUGGCUGGGUCUGUUAUGCAAUUCAUCUUCAGCAGGCAGACAACACAUAAUCUGACCCAGAGCCAAUUUUUUUUUUUAAUGGAAUUAAAUUAGUCACUAUUUAUAAGCCGAAGAGAUUUCAAAAAGGCUGUUUAAGGAGGGGCCAUUGUUUUUCCUGCUGGUGUGUUUGCCUUUCCAUCAUGCUGGAUUGCUUUUGUUUGACUGUGGUUUCUGAGGCAAAUAGUGGGCAGUAUUGGGCAGGAUAAUUCCAGCUGUCUGAGUACUUGGAUCAUUCAUCCUUAAAAUGGGGGUGAUAGAUUGGGAAACUCUAGACUGAGCAAGCAUUUGUGGGUUGGCAUGACAAUGGAAGAGAACUUCAUUCCCCAGAAUGGCUUCAAUCCCUUUCCCAUAUUUCUUUCCCCAGUAGAUCUAGAUCUAAAGAGAUGUCCCCCAAGUCACCUGAUCCAACACCUGCUGUGACAUAGCGCUAAAGCUACCUAGAGACCCACUCCUUAGCCUCCCACUCCAGCUUUUCCAAAAUCACCCAUCCUUUCUUACUCCUUUCUAUCCAAGUUCAUCUUCAGCAAACAAAUAUUGCUGACCCCAGGGAAGAUGGUACCAGUGGGUAAAGAACCCGCCUGCCAAUGAA